rnacentral:sRNA from 1 species
GCAAGGCAUGGUGGUGCAUGCCUGCAGUUCCAGCUAGCUUUUCACGGGGCUGAGGAGGGAGGAUCAUGUGAGCCUGGGAGCCAGGGUUCAUGACCACCCAGGCAAAAUAAUGACAUCCUAUCUCAA